rnacentral:lncRNA from 1 species
CAAUUAGGUUCUGUGGUCCAGCUGUGGGAGUGGUGCUGAUUCACCGGUUAGACCAGCUGUGGGAGUGGUGCUGAUUCACCGGUUAGACCAGCUGUGGGAAUGGUGCUGUUUCACCGGUCAGACCAGUUGUGGGAGUUGUGCUGUUUCACCGGUCAGACGUACCAUGACAUUGCAGUUUGGUUUGUGACCUGCCAGUAUAAAAGCUCUGGUGCAAGAGGUUUGUCUACAUACAUCCGACAACAUGAAGGUUCAACUUCUCACGCUGCUGCUCCUGCUGUGCAGCACUCAAGUGCUCACACUCAGAUGCUACACCUGUGUAGGUGAAGAUGACGAGGACUGUAAGGUGGAGACAGAGUGCCCGGCAACAGCUCAGUACUGCAUGACCAUGCAAUACGGUAGUUAAAAUCUUUCUGCUGCAUUCAUUUAGAUUUCUUUUAUGUCCAUGUUUUAAUAUCUGUGUUUAAGUUUUUGAGAAAAACUACAUUACAUUCUCCCAUGACAGAGGGAUGGUUCAGUCAUUGUAUUUUUAUUAAAUUCUUUCAACAGGUGGAGAACUUUCUCGAACUUGUCAGGAUUAUUGUGCCGAAGAUGAUAACACAUAUUGCUGCCAAGAAGACCUCUGCGACCCAUGAGUCAUCCCUCAGCGCUGACUUUCGCUUUCUGAAAAAUGAAAUGAAUAUAUAAGACAAAUGUAUUACUUAAAUCUAAAUCAGAUCGAAGAUGAUUUUUAACUUUAUAGGAUUGUAAUGUGACUAUCCUGUCUUGCUUUUACUUUCAUUAAACUCUACAAAUAUUGAAUCA